CCUACGGGUGGCAGCAGUGGGGAAUAUUGCACAAUGGGCGAAACCCUGAUGCAGCGACGCCGCGUGAGUGAUGAAGUAUUUCGGUAUGUAAAGCUCUGUCAGCAGGGAAGAAAAUGACGGUAGCUGAUUAAGAAUCCCCGGCUAACUACGUGCCAGCAGCCGCGGUAAUACGGAGGGGGCAAGCGUGAUCCGGAUUUACUGGGGGUAAAGGUAGCGUAGACGGCAGGACAAGUCUGGAGUGAAAGGCCGGGGCUUAACCCCGGAACUGCUUGGGAAACUGUGCAGCUAGAGUGCAGGAGAGGUAAGUGGAAUUCCGAGUGUAGCGGUGAAAUGCGUAGAUAUUAGGAGGAACACCAGUGGCGAAGGCGGCUUACUGGACUGUAACUGACGUUGAGGCGCGAAAGCGUGGGGAGCAAACAGGAUUAGAUACCCCUGUAGUC
rnacentral:rRNA from 1 species